GAUGAACGCUGGCGGCGUGCCUAAUACAUGCAAGUCGAGGGAACAGAUGAGGAGCUUGCUCCUCUGACGUUAGCGGCGGACGGGUGAGUAACACGUGGAUAACCUACCUAUAAGACUGGGAUAACUUCGGGAAACCGGAGCUAAUACCGGAUAAUAUAUUGAACCGCAUGGUUCAAUAGUGAAAGACGGUUUUGCUGUCACUUAUAGAUGGAUCCGCGCCGCAUUAGCUAGUUGGUAAGGUAACGGCUUACCAAGGCAACGAUGCGUAGCCGACCUGAGAGGGUGAUCGGCCACACUGGAACUGAGACACGGUCCAGACUCCUACGGGAGGCAGCAGUAGGGAAUCUUCCGCAAUGGGCGAAAGCCUGACGGAGCAACGCCGCGUGAGUGAUGAAGGUCUUCGGAUCGUAAAACUCUGUUAUUAGGGAAGAACAAAUGUGUAAGUAACUAUGCACGUCUUGACGGUACCUAAUCAGAAAGCCACGGCUAACUACGUG
rnacentral:rRNA from 1 species